CGAGGUUGGGCUCUGGAAAUCACGUUUUUUUUGGCUUCAACACAACCCCCGUUGUUGUUGUGUGUGGUUCCAUUCACGCGUACACCCAGCCGUUGGUUGGGUUUGUUGUGCUUUUUUUUUCGACGUGUUUCACGGGGAAGGCUCUAGUUUUUUCGGUGGUUUCGUCGAGUGCAAAUCCGCGUGCGUGUUCCAUCACUCGAAGGGUAAAUGAGGGACGGUUGCAUGCGUGUGUGCGUGCGUAUGUGAGAUGCAUUCCUCUAGCCUGUGCAUGUGCAAAUGCGACAAAUGCAAGAAUGCUUGCGCACCGAAACACCGUGUGCAGGUUCUGCAAGUGAAGGUGAACAGAUGAGAAAAAAAAAUGUGGUACAAAGGUGCGGGCGAUGAGAAGAAGCAAAACUACGAAUGAGAAGAAGGAAAAAACAAACUACUCCGAAAGCCAGCGUGCGCGAGAUGCUCGAAAGAAGUGCAAUGAAAAUAAAAGCACGCCACACGACGUGCGAGAUGAAACAACGCACACAGGCGCUCGCGCGUGCGUUCGAUGGUCUGUGUUGGUGCGAUGCUCCGGCAGGAACGCUGAGUGCGGACGGAACGAAUCGAGGCAAAAUAACACGCCGAAGGAAACGGCGACCGUGGUUGGGAAGAAGCUGUAAGAAAGAAGAGGAGUAGGUAGGAAAAAUAAAAAAAAAACAAACAAAUACCAAAUGAGAAAAUACGCUGGCGGAUGAGCAGGCAAGCAGGUAGGCAGGCUGGCACGCAGGAAGCAAGGAAUGGCCAGAACGGGCAACGGGGCGAAGAACGAAUGGAGAAAAAGAAAACGAAACGAGCUUACAGCAUCCACGGGCGCACGAGCUUAAGGAAGCUCUGCCGCUUGCGUUGUGAGAAUGUUGCAAAAUUCCACCGCUCACUAGAUCUAUUUUAGAUUAAUCUUCCCUUUUUUUUUUGCUCCACCCGGUCGCGGUUCUGGAUCAUUGGGUGUGCUCUCGUUCACGUUUUGCUUCUUGUUCGUCUUCUCUUUUUGGUUUUCCACUGGAGCUGGCAGCCUGGAGCCUGUCCAUUUACAGUUAGCCGGCGUUUAGGUUGUCGGGCUGUGAGUAGGGCCCUUUUUUGCGGCUCAUUGGACGGGAAUGGAUUCGCAAGAACGACAGUGAGUUGCAAAGAGUGAGAUAGAUAGAGAGACGGACCGAGAGAGAGAGAGAGCGAACAUGUAAGCUUUAAGGGUUCCCACGGUGCACGGAGAUUAAGCCCUUUUUCCUUGCGCGAAUCGGCCGAACGCCCUUUGCGCAGCGCCAUCACGUAAAUGGGCGACAUUUAAACCGGCUGGAAUUAUUUCUCAAUCCGAUCCGAAGGCUCGUUGCCAAUUCUCGUCCGUGUGCACUUUCGGUGCAUUUUGUGCAUCGAUCGAACGACGUGUCUUGAAGAAUCUGGAGGAAGCGCGUCGAUCCUUGCGAGGAUCAUCCAGAACAGCAGCAACAACGGGAUCAAAAAAAAGGUCUCCAGGGUGGGUGGUGCCAGCGGUGGAAUGAUACCUUCUCGUGCGAGUGGUGGCGGACGGCGGGUUUCCUUCCGCAUGCUGGAGCCUCUAAACGGCAGGGAAAACUCGAUCACUCGUCGGAUGGGGUGGACUCGCAUCGCAUAGGUCCGUGUAGCUCGUCGCUGUCGAUGCGGCAUGAAGGCUGGUGGAAGAACACGGAGAGGAUGAGAAGAAAAAAAAAAGUAUUAAAUUCUCACAUCCUCCCAUCGGGCGGGUGUAAUUGCGUCCAUCGCAUCCUUAUGGGUGGCACGCGGAAGAAAAGAAUGACGGCACCUCGGUCGGCGAGUGAACAUUCCGUCGGAGCCGGCAAGCGCAAGGAACGCAAGGAACGCAAGGAGCGGAAGGAACUCGCCGAGAAGGCGACAUUGCUGAUGGUGGCGAAUGGUCGGCUAAAAGAAGCGACCAACAGCGCGGGCACACUUAAUCGACGGUGAAACGUAAGCUAAAGAGCACGAAAAACACAGGCGAAAAAAAAAAACGUUGCCCCACGCCACCGAUGGGAAUGUGCAGCGAGUGUUGAGAAAAUAAAGCAUCGCAAGGGCAUCGUGACCCUCAGGAAAAA